rnacentral:rRNA from 1 species
AGAGUUUGAUCAUGGCUCAGAAUAAACGUUGGCGGUGCGCCUAACACAUGCAAGUCGAGCGAGAAAGGCCUUCGGGUUGAGUACAGCGGCAAACGGGUGAGUAACGCGUGGGAAUCUACCCCCUAUGUGAAGAAUACCUUCGAGAAAUCGGAGUUAAUGCUGCAUACGUCCCUUCGGGGAGAAAGAUGGCCUCUUUGCUGUCGCUAGGGGAUGAGCCUGCGUACUAUUAGCUAGUUGGUAGGGUAAUGGCCUACCGAGGCGAUGAUGGUUAGCCGGCCUGAGAGGGUGAUCGGCCACAUUGGAACUGAGAUACGGUCCAGACUCCUACGGGAGGCAGCAGUGAGGAAUAUUGCGCAAUGGGCGAAAGCCUGACGCAGCGACACCGCGUGAAGGAUGAAGGCUUUCGGGUCGUAAACUUCUGUUAAGUGGGAAGAAAGAACUGGUCCUAAUACGGCCAGAGAAUGACGGUACCACUAGAGAAAGCACCGGCUAACUUCGUGCCAGCAGCCGCGGUAAGACGAGGGGUGCAAACGUUAUUCGGAAUGAUUGGGUGUAAAGGGUGCGUAGGCGGUAUGUUAAGUCAAUCGUUAAAUUUUUCAGCUUAACUGAAAGUCAGCGGUAGAAACUGGCGUACUUGAGGAUGGAAGAGAGAAGUAGAAUUCUCGGAGUAGCGGUAAAAUGCGUAGAUCUCGAGAGGAAUACCGAUGGCGAAGGCAGCUUCUUGGUCCAUAUCUGACGCUGAGGCACGAAAGCGUGGGGAGCAAACAGGAUUAGAUACCCCGGUAGUCC